AAAUUAUUAUUUAAUAAUCUUUCGGGUCAGUGGGAUUUCGAAUAUAUUUUAUUUAUGUUAUUAUGUGAGUAAUAAAAAUUAUGUGCGAGUUGUGAGAAAUUUGUGUGAUUAUGUGAAUAAUUGUUGGAUGCAUUUUAUCUGUUCGUGCAUCCUUUGAUUUAAAUUAGUUCAUAUAGUCGAUCGUGAUUUAUGACAUCAUGAUUUGAUUAUUUUAGAUAUUCUAAAUAUCUUAUUUUAUUUGAAAGCUUUGGAAUUUAGAUUAAUUUUAUUAAAGUAAGAAUAUUUUCGGGUCCCUACAUUUUAUUUAGAUGAUCACUAGCUUUUUAUUUCAAGAUUGGGAUCCAAAACUUUUAUUAUAUAAAUAUAUCAUAUCUAAAAUUAUUUUAUUAUUAAAAAGAAAAUAGAAGUAGUACAAUUGUACUACACGGGUAGUACAAGCAGGAAAAAAAAGAAGAGAGAAAAGCAAAACACAUACGCACAAAAACAGAGUACUAGUCGGUGACUCUGAAAAUUAGGGGUUAGGGUUUGAGUGUCCACAGAAACUUAUAAUCCCAACAUAUAAUUGGGUAUAAACUUUUGUUUUCUUGCUUGAUUUGGAUUAUAUGCUUUCUUAUAUGUAUGAGUACAAGUAUGAUGAUUGUAUACAUGUUUUCGGAAUGGUAUUUCAAGAGUUAAAGUAGUAGAUUAAAGAUUUAGUACAAUACAAAAUAAAGCUGAAAUUCAGGUUGCUGCUGGUCUGAUUUGUAGCACAGUUCUGGGCUCAUUGAGUGAAUUUAUAUGCUUAGUAUUUCUGUGAUAAUGUGCUCCUUGAAGUCUAGUUUAAGUACCAACAAGAAUUUCAAAGUUUCGUUAAUCGAGCUAAAAGUUAUGGCCGCUUGAGUGGGG
rnacentral:lncRNA from 1 species